GACGAACGCUGGCGGCGUGCUUAACACAUGCAAGUCGAACGGGUCUGCCCUGUUUUUUGCGGGGUGGGUCAGUGGCGAACGGGUGAGUAACACGUGAGUAACCUGCCCCUCACUUCUGGAUAACCGCUUGAAAGGGUGGCUAAUACGGGGUGUUCUGGCUGUGCCGCAUGGUGUGGCUGGGAAAGAUUCACUUUUGUGGUGUUUUGGUGGGGGAUGGGCUCGCGGCCUAUCAGCUUGUUGGUGGGGUGAUGGCCUGCCAAGGCUUUGACGGGUAGCCGGCCUGAGAGGGUGGGCGGUCACACUGGGACUGAGAUACGGCCCAGACUCCUGCGGGAGGCAGCAGUGGGGGGUAUUGCACAAUGGGCGGAAGCCUGAUGCAGCGACGUCGCGUGAGAGAUGGAGGCCUUCGGGUUGUGAACCUCUUUCGCCGGUGAAGAAGGUCCUGCUCUUUGUGGUGGGGUUGACGGUAGCCGGGUUAUGAAGCGCCGGCUAACUACGUG
rnacentral:rRNA from 1 species